CGGGCGGCCAUGACCCUGCUGGAGUGCGGGGGGGACCUCCAGCCCCCCAGGGGGUCCCUGCGCCUCCGCUGCCGAGGGUCCGGGUUCACUUUCGGGAGCUACGAAAUGUUCUGGAUGCGCCAGAGACCCGGGGAGGGGCUGGAGUGGCUCGCGUGGAUCAGGAACGAUGGUGGCAACUCCGGCUACGCGGAUUCAGUCAAGGGCCGGGUCACGAUCUCUAGGGACAACGGGCAGAGCUCGGUGACGCUGACCAUGAACAACCUCAAGGACGAGGAUUCCGGAUCCUAUUUCUGCGCCAAAUGUUACAGCAGUGGUUGUGGUCCUAAUAUUGAUGCUGGUUAUGAUGACGAUGCCAGUGGUGGCCCCUCCUCGAUGCUGUGCCCUCAAACAUCCCAAAACCCCACAUUCUACCCCCAAAUCUUUAGUAUUGGCCACAAAUCUUGA